AAAAAGGUAAGCUAACUAAGCUAUCGGGUUCAUACCCCGCUCAUGAGGGUCUUAGCCCCUUCCUUUUUA
rnacentral:tRNA from 1 species